rnacentral:rRNA from 1 species
GUAACAAAUAUCUUAGCUCUCUCAUUGAUGAAGAACAUAGCAAAAUGCAAUAUUUGGUGUGAAUUUUAGAAUUCUGUGAACCAUCGAGUCUUGAAAUUGUUGGAAGGAAAGUAGAUGAGGGUCGAUAGUAUGCCUCAAUCAGAUGUAGAAUAGUAAAAGCUGGUCCAUCAAUCAGCUUGAGGUGAGGAUUGAUGUGGGUCACGGUGUUAGCUUAAGCUCAAGCUUUCAAAUACCUAUAGAGACAUCGUUAUCAUUAUUAUGGAAUGCAGCACAUGCCAUCUUGGUGUGCUUCAGUACUUAUGUGUUCUUAGUAUUGGCCUACUAACUCUUCAUUUGGCCAAUUUUGAAAUAAGAACUAAGGAGUUUGGCAUGCGUGUGAGUCAACAGGCUUAAAAACCAAUAAGACAUGAGAAAGUUGAUUGAUGGGAUCUUUUAUGGGUGCACCGUUGACUAACCUUGAUCUUUUGAGAAAGGUUCAAGUGUGAACAUGCCUAUUAGAACCCAAAAGAUGGUAAAUUGUACCUAAACGGGACAAAGCCAAAGAAAACUCUAAUGGAGGCCUAUAGUAAUACUAACAUGUAAAUCAUUCAUCUGACUUGGAUAUAGGGGUGAAAGGCUAAUCAAAUCAUCUAGUAACUGGUUCUCUUAAAGUUUCCCAUAAGAUAGCUGGAGUCUUUAGCGAGUUUUAUCCUGUAAAGUCAAUGAUUAGAGGCAUCAAGGGUACAACACUUCUGACCUAUUCUCAAACUUUAAAUAGGUAGGAUAGUGCGGCUGCUUUAUUAAGCUAUGCCAUAGAAUCGAAAGCUCUAAGUAAGCCAUUUUUGGUAAGCAAAACUGACGAUGCAAGAUGAAUUGAAGUUGAGUUAAGGUGCCCAAUUGCACGUUAACCUAAAACCCAUAAAAAGGUGUUGGUUGAUUAAGACAGUAGAAUGAUGGUCAUGAAAGUUAAAAUAUGUUAAGGAGUGUAUAACAACUCACUUAUCAAAUCAACUAACCCUGAAAAUGGAUGGCAUUUAAGUGCACAACCAAUACUCGAUCAUCGAGGUAAAGGCUGAGUCUCGAUAAGUAAGAGGGCAUGAUAGUCACCGUAAAACCUAAGGUUUGAACCCAGGCAAAACAGUUAUCAGUGUAAAUCUUGGUAAUGAUAGCAAAUAUUCAAAUAAGAACUUUGAAGGUCGAAGAAAGAAAAGGUUCCAUGUGAAUGGCAAUUGCAUAUGGGUUAGUCAAUCCAAAGAGAUGGGAAAACCCAUUUGAUAGUGUAUCUAGCAUAAGCUUUGAAAAAUUAGGUUAAAAUUCUUAAACUAGGACACAAUGGUUGACAACAACAUUAAGAAGUCUAAAGAUGUUAGUAAGGCCUUAGAAAGAGUUAACUUUUCUAUUUCAUGGCUUGCUUACCUUGGAAACGACUUAGCCAAAGGUAGGGUCUAACGGUUGAAAAAGCAUCGCAUGUCACACAGUGUUCAAUGCACCCCUGACUACCCUUAAAAAUCUAAAAGAUGAAAUGCCGUUUGUGUUUGAUUGUACUUAUAAUUGCAUCAGGUCUCCAAGGUGAACAACUUUUGGUCAAUGGAAUAAUGCAAGUAAGGGAAGUCGACAAAAUGGAUCCAUAACCUCCAGAAAAAGAUUGGCUCUGAGGGUUAGGCAUAGGGGUCCCAAUCUCAAACUUGUCUAUAAAUGGUGCACUGUUUGAGUUGUACCCAUGGUGAGAGUAAGUCUUCACAUGUCGAUCGAGGGAUAGACUAAGAACAACUUCUUCAGGGGACUUCCUUGAGUGAUGAAUAGUUGAUUCAAAACUGGCAUGGACAAAGGAAAUUUGACUAUUAAUUAAAACAAAGCAUUAUAAUGGUCCCUGCAGAUGCUUAUGUAAUAUGAUUUCUAGCCAGUGCUUUGAAUGUCAAAGUGAAGAAAUUCAACCAAGCAUAGGUAAAUGGUGGGAGUAACUAUGACUUACAUAAGGUAGCCAAAUACCUCAUCAUCUAAUUAAAGACACGCAUGAAUGGAUUAACGAGAUUCUCACUAUCCUUGUCUACUAUCCAAUUAAACCAUAACCAAAGGAAAGGGCUUGGCAAAAUUAGUAAAGAAAGAAGAUCCUGUUGAGCUUGACUCUAGUACGACUUUAUGAAAUGACUUAAGAGGUGUAGGAUAAAUGGGAGCCCUAGAGCGAAAUUGAAAUACCACUACUUUUAAUGUUAUUUUACUUAUUUCAUGAAUUGAAGUUAAGGCAUGACCCCUUUUUUUGGACCUAAGGCCAACUUCAUUCGAUCAAUUCAGGUGAAAGACAUUGUUAGGUAGGAAGUUUGGCUAGGUGGCACAUUUGUUAAAAAAUAAUGCAUGUGUCCUAAGUUGAGCUCAAUGAAAACAAAAAUUUUGUAUAGAAUAAAAGGGUAGAAGCUUGUUUGAUUUUGAUUUUUAGUUCGAAUACAAACCAUGAAAGUGUGGCCUAUUGAUCUUUUAGACCUUUAAAAUUUAAAGCUAUAGGUGUUAGAAAAGUUACCACAGGGUUAAUUGGCUUGUUUAGCUAAGUGUUCAUAGCAACGUUACUUUUAGAUCCUUUGAUGUCAGCUCUUCCUAUCAUUGUGAAGCAGAAUUCACCAAGUGUUGGAUUGUUCACCCACUAAUAGGAAAUGAGAGCUAGGUUUAAGUUGUCAUGAGAUAGAUUAGUUUUACCUUAUUGAUAGUAGCAUCAUAAUAGUAUUUCAACCUAGUACGAGAAGAACCAUUGGUUUACAUAAUUGGUCAUCGCGCUUGGUUGAAAAGGUAGCGACGUGAAGCUAUCGUGUGCUGGAUUAUGACUGAAUGCCUCUAAGUCAGAAUCCAGGCUAAAAGCGAUGCACAUGUCUACUGCCUGAUUGUCUACCCUCAGUAGGGUCCAUAGCCUCUAAGGGCAUGUGUAAUAGGUACAGCCCCCAUGGUGGACAAACUGUAUGGGCCUUUUUGGAGUACAAUUCUCACUAAGCGAUGGGUAAAAUCUAUUGUAAAUGACUUAAAUAUGUGACGAGG